rnacentral:tRNA from 3 species
GGAGAGGUGCCAGAGCGGUUGAAUGGGUCAGUCUCGAAAACUGAAGUAUGGGCAACUGUACCGUGGGUUCGAAUCCCACCCUCUCCGCCA